rnacentral:rRNA from 1 species
UACGAAGGGGGCUAGCGUUGCUCGGAAUCACUGGGCGUAAAGGGUGCGUAGGCGGGUCUUUUAAGUCAGGGGUGAAAUCCUGGAGCUCAACUCCAGAACUGCCUUUGAUACUGAAGAUCUUGAGUUCGGGAGAGGUGAGUGGAGCUGCGAGUGUAGAGGUGAAAUUCGUAGAUAUUCGCAAGAACACCAGUGGCGAAGGCGGCUCACUGGCCCGGUACUGACGCUGAGGUGCGAAAGCGUGGGGAGCAAACAGGG